rnacentral:rRNA from 1 species
UACGUAGGGUGCAAGCGUUUAAUCGGAAUUACUGGGCGUAAAGCGUGCGCAGGCGGUCCGUUAAGACAGAUGUGAAAUCCCCGGGCUUAACCUGGGAACUGCAUUUGUGACUGGCGGACUCGAGUAUGGCAGAGGGGGGUAGAAUUCCACGUGUAGCAGUGAAAUGCGUAGAGAUGUGGAGGAAUACCGAUGGCGAAGGCAGCCCCCUGGGCCAAUACUGACGCUCAUGCA